rnacentral:misc_RNA from 1 species
GUAGGUGAACCUGCGGAAGGAUCAUUGACAAAUCUAACUAAAACACUGCCUCCUUCUCUCCUUCUUGGGGGGAAGCGCAGAAUUUCUAACCUGUGAAUCGGCAGUCUCGCAAGAGCUGUUUGCGUGUUUGGUGUUGGGUUGCUGCUGCUUCGGCAGCGGUGACUUUAGCCAAACUGCACACACAUAAACGUCUAACAAAUUUGUCUAAGCAUUUUUUGCAUAAAACAAAAACAACUUUUAGCAAUGGAUC